rnacentral:rRNA from 1 species
GUUUCCGUAGGUGAACCUGCGGAAGGAUCAAUG